rnacentral:rRNA from 1 species
AUUGAACGCUGGCGGCAGGCCUAACACAUGCAAGUCGAACGAGUGGCGGACGGGUGAGUAAUGUCUGGGAAACUGCCCGAUGGAGGGGGAUAACUACUGGAAACGGUAGCUAAUACCGCAUACCAUCGGAUGUGCCCAGAUGGGAUUAGCUAGUAGGUGGGGUAAAGGCUCACCUAGGCGACGAUCCCUAGCUGGUCUGAGAGGAUGACCAGCCACACUGGACCUGAUGCACGGUCCAGACUCCUACGGGAGGCAGCCGUGGGGAAUAUUGCACAAUGGGCGCAAGCCUGAUGCAGCCAUGCCGCGUGUAUGAAGAAGGCCUUCGGGUUGUAAAGUACUUUCAGUCGGGAGGCGUUACCGGCAGAAGAAGCACCGGCUAACUCCGUGCCAGCCGCCGCGGUAAUAC